UGAACGCUAGCGGCAGGCCUAACACAUGCAAGUCGAGGGGUAACGAUGUCUUCGGACAGGCGACGACCGGCGCACGGGUGAGUAUCGCGUUUGUAACCUACCUUUAACUGGAGAAUAGCCCGAAGAAAUUCGGAUUAAUACUCCAUAAUACUAUGAUCUGGCAUCUUUUUAUAGUUAAAGCUCCGGCGGUUAAAGAUGGACAUGCGUAACAUUAGUUUGUUGGUGAGGUAACGGCUCACCAAGACUACGAUGUUUAGGGGGUCUGAGAGGAUGGUCCCCCACACUGGUACUGAGACACGGACCAGACUCCUACGGGAGGCAGCAGUGAGGAAUAUUGGUCAAUGGGCGCAAGCCUGAACCAGCCAUGCCGCGUGAAGGAUGACAGCGCUACGCGUUGUAAACUUCUUUUGUACAGGAAGAAACACUUCUACGUGUAGAAGCUUGACGGUACUGUACGAAUAAGCAUCGGCUAACUCC
rnacentral:rRNA from 1 species